UCCUACUGGUAUCAUAAAUACGAGAGUUUGUAAUAUGAAUGCUUGUGGCUCUUUCACACAAAAACUACUUGACGGAUUUUGGUGCAACUUUACAGUAAUUUAACUUAGACAACGGAAAAGGACGUAGGGUGUGAUAUAUCCCGAAAUUCCGUGCAGUUUUCUAAGCCGCAUGCAAAGACUAGUGUUCAGGCGGAGGCACCGGUUCAAGUAAACGCUCACGCUUUAACAAAUCAGAGCAAUGGCUAUAAAAACCAACCAGCUCGGUCAGGGAGUCAAACUGACGACCACCAAUGUAGUAAUCACCGCAUACUGCAGUUAUUCUAUAUAAACAAAAUAUCAGUAUACAUUUUCUUUAUCAUAUGCUCAUGUUAAUGUGAGUUAAAUAUAUUUAAAAGACAGUUCACAGUGUAACUACCUGAAAUGAUUGAUUCCAGUCCGUCCCAAAUAACUUAACACAUAUGAUCCUGGCUUACGAUCACUUUCACGUACUAAAACAAAAUUAAAGCUAAGUUGUUGUAUGAUUCAUACUUAUUUUGCUAAAGUUUAUAAGAUAAGAAUAGAUUAAACAAUUGAUACUGAAUAAUUUAUUAGUAAUUUUUGUAAAAAUCUUCAUAAUGUAAUACUAGUAGUAUAUUAAUAUCAAAUAUUUUGUAAAUGAAUUCUCCAAAAUGUUAUUAUAAUAACCACGAAUAAUGUUUUGUGCAGACAUUGUUACAGCACAUGUUCUUAUUUGCCACACAAUAAUGUAUUUAUCAUAUAAAAAUACAUUGGCAAGCUCAUUGACACUCAUUAAAAUAUGUAGCAACUUGCAUGACAAUAGAGUACUUUUUAUAGGAACUUUCCAUUUUCAUUACUAUUAAGAAUGCACUGGGAAACAUUUUUAUUCUUCUUUGUUAACAUUUUGUAAUCACUAUAAGAUGUAAUCCAUUACUAAGAACAUAACUUUCUUAAUUAUUAAUAAUCUUGAAGGAAAAACUUCUUUAAGGAAGAAGUUAUAUGGAGUUUGAAAUAUAUAAGUGAGGUAAAAAGCUAUAUUCUGAAGAUAUUUUUAAUCAUACCUAAAUAGCUGCCAUGUUUUCCAGCAGCCCAGAGACGUUCUUCUGAUGUGUAUCUGUCCAAGCGACCAUGAUACCACUCGGUCUCAGGUGGAGCUAGUACUGCUUGACGCUCCCCUGCAUGAAUAAAUUUAAAGUUUUUACUAUGGUAGAAUGGGCUCCAGAUUAUAAUGAUAUAAACAAGGAUUAUCUAAGUAAUAUUAAUAAUACCAUUAGUGCUUGGUCCAUCAGCUUCAUCCAAUUCCAAAUCUGCAGUUAAUUCUGCAAUAUCACCACCCCCAUCCUCGGAUUCAGUAGACGGAGAUCCCAGCUUAUCCUUUAUAGGGGGUCCUAUAGGCGCUCCCAUAGCUCGAAUUAGAUCAGC